UGCUCCCUGGCCCAGUUGGUUAAGGCACACGACUGUUAUGGAGUCAUGGGAUUCGGCGGAUAUAUGCAGUCCUCGUAAUCCAGUGUCUCUGUGAUCGUGGGAUCGAGAGUUCGAGUCUCUCGGGAGCAG